UUAAGUUUUAUCCCGGAAAAUAGCUGCUUGCUGUUCACCAAAAUGGAUUCCCAAAUUUGCGUCCCUAUCUCAAACCAAAGCCCCUACUGCUACCAUUUCCAUCGUUCCUCUCCAAAGUUCCCUUGUUUCGUACCCAAAGCUCUCAGACCCCAUUCUCUUGAAAACAACAAAAAUCUCAACAAAGCCACCUUGCUAUCUCCACUUUCCCUCACGAAGAGAGCCCUCAAUUCCUCAGCCCUCCUCCUUAUCUUUUAUGGGUUUUUCCCUCACAAUUCCAAAGCUUUCUCUGACAAAGAUUUGGACCUCGAAAGGUACACAGAUUUUGAGCAGGGUUUCACCCUUCUCAGGCCUUCUUCUUGGAACAAGGUUGAGAAAGCAGGGGCAACUGUUUUGUUUGAGGAGGCAAACGUGGGAAGUAACAAUGUUGGGGUAGUUGUGAGCCCAGUUCGUUUAAACAGCCUUGGAGAAUUUGGUACUCCCCAAUUUGUAGCUGAUAAGCUUAUACAGGCUGAAAAACGCAAGGAAAGCACAAAGGAUGCUGAGGUAAUUGGAGUUGCCAAGAGACCUGGUCAAGGAGGCUUACAAGUGUACGAGUUUGAGUACAAAGUGGAUAGCACCAGGGGAGGAAUGAAGAGGAUCCUUUCAGCAGCUUUUGUGGCAUCAAAGAAGCUCUACCUUCUUAAUAUAGCUCAUUCAGACAAACCUGAAAGCCCUCUGGAUACCCAUACAAGAGCCGUAUUAGAAGAAAUUCUCCACUCUUUUGAUGCUUUACCUUCUACAUAGCAUUCUGAAGAAGUAUUAUUUUUACACAAUUUCAUGCUUUUGCACAUCGGUAUUCAAAGACGGGUCGUAGGUAUUUUGUAUAAACCAUGCAUAAGUCAACCCUUCGCAUUGAGUUUCCAUGACAAUAACAUGCGGUUCAUACAACAUAUAUGAGCGUUCUUUGAAUUUCAAGUCUUACAGAACCAAACCAUUUUUAUGGCUAGGCAAAUAUGGAAUGAGCAAUGAUAAUCUUGGCUGAGAUCUUUAGCUGUGCAGAGUCAUUACUUAAUAUUCCUAUCAAGGUGAAAGCCAAUUGUUUGAGAAUCAUGUUUAGCAGUCAAUUAAAUUUCUUCAUGUCUGGAUCAAUACGGAGGCGACGGUGUGCGGAUGAAAAACACUACUAUAUUACAAUAUUAUCGUUUAUUAAAAUUUCUUUGAGCAAGAUAUCUUUAGCUCAGAGUUGUUUUCCAUUGUCGUAUGUAUGAAUAUGUGAUUGAAUGUUCAUACUAAGUAUUAACAAUAUGAAUAUUAUUUCUAUUUAUACAGUUGAGCAUUUUCCUUUCUA